rnacentral:rRNA from 1 species
CCGCCCGUCACACCAUGGGAGUGGGUUGCAAAAGAAGUAGGUAGCUUAACCUUCGGGAGGGCGCUUACCACUUUGUGAUUCAUGACUGGGGUGAAGUCGUAACAAGGUAACCGUAGGGGAACCUGCGGUUGGAUCACCUCCUUA